AGAGGCCUCCUCUCUGACCAUCCAGAGCCCAAAUCCACAGCUUCCCCAAAUUUCAUCAGCUGCCACUUGACGACUUCUCCCCGUCUCUCUGAGGCCCGGAAACCACGGCUGGAGCUGCCAAAGUCGGGGAGCUCUGGUCCUGCCCAGACCCCUUUGGAAUUGCUGGCCCAUCCUCCCACUGGAGAGCUGGGGUGCAGCUCACCUUGGGGAAGGAAACCUCAUGCCUCAGAGUAAUUUCUUGUGAAUGCAAAGCCUGGGGGAGCGGGUCUUUGGGGGGCAAGGAGCCAGUCAGGGGCUUGUUUCCCCUCAUAGAGCUCCCCAGACGUGCCUCCGCAAUGCCUGAAACCCAGACCUAGGCUAAUAAACGGUUCAAUUUC
rnacentral:lncRNA from 1 species